CGUAUCACCCAAGACAACUUUACGGAGUUGACGAUUGACGGAGCGAAGCGACGUCAAAGCGUUCAUUAAAGUCGAGUUGGCUUAGGGAUACGUUCGUUGGGUAGGGGAGCGUUCUGUAAGCCUGUGAAGGUGUGUCGUGAGGCAUGCUGGAGGUAUCAGAAGUGCGAAUGCUGACAUAAGUAACGAUAAAGCGGGUGAAAAGCCCGCUCGCCGGAAGACCAAGGGUUCCUGUCCAACGUUAAUCGGGGCAGGGUGAGUCGACCCCUAAGGCGAGGCCGAAAGGCGUAGUCGAUGGGAAACGGGUUAAUAUUCCCGUACUUGGUGUUACUGCGAAGGGGGGACGGAGAAGGCUAUGUUGGCCGGGCGACGGUUGUCCCGGUUUAAGCGUGUAGGUGUGUGUUCCAGGUAAAUCCGGUUCACUUUAACACUGAGGCGUGACGACGAGGCACUACGGUGCUGAAGCAACAAAUGCCCUGCUUCCAGGAAAAGCCUCUAAGCAUCAGGUAACACGAAAUCGUACCCCAAACCGACACAGGUGGU
rnacentral:rRNA from 1 species